UAUCCAGACUCCUACGGGAGGCAGCAGUGAGGAAUAUUGGUCAAUGGUCGGGAGACUGAACCAGCCAAGCCGCGUGAGGGAUGAAGGUACAGAGUAUCGUAAACCUCUUUUGUCAGGGAACAAAGGCGGGGACGUGUCCCCGGAUGAGUGUACCUGAAGAAAAAGCAUCGGCUAACUCCGUGCCAGCAGCCGCGGUAAUACGGAGGAUGCGAGCGUUAUCCGGAUUUAUUGGGUUUAAAGGGUGCGCAGGCGGAAUGUCAAGUCAGCGGUAAAAUUUCGGGGCUCAACCCCGUCGUGCCGUUGAAACUGGCGUUCUUGAGUGAGCGAGAAGUAUGCGGAAUGCGCAGUGUAGCAGUGAAAUGCUUAGAUAUUGCGCAGAACUCCGAUUGCGAAGGCAGCAUACCGGCGGCGAUCUGACGCUGAGGCACGAAAGCGUGGGUAUCGAACAGGAUUAGAUACCCCCGUACAA
rnacentral:rRNA from 1 species